GCGGGUGUAGCUCAGUGGUAGAGCGCUUGCUUCCCAAGCAAGAUGUCGCGAGUUCGAAUCUCGUCUCCCGCU
rnacentral:tRNA from 1 species